UUAUAAUCAAACUGAGUUAUUGAUCCUUAGAUAAAUCAGUCAGUUCAGUUUCCACUCAUGUGUUCAUGUGUUUAUGAAUGAGUGAAGUGUAAUUAUUGCAGCUGUUGACCCUCCAGAUAAAUCAGUCAGUUCCUCUCAAUAGCAGGUUUCUGUCACUGUGGAAAUGAGCUGCUUCAUUAAAUCACUGCAGCUUCAUUAACAGCUCUAAUGUCUCACUUUGGUUCUGAAAGUCCAUUUUAAUUCCCGACCAGAACCACUGAAGGCCCGACUGAAAUAUUCUAACAACACGUCAUAAUAACAUGUUCUGGUUCUGCUGGUUUGGACUCUAUAAACCAGUUUUACUGGAUCAGAUAUUAAACAUCAGUUCAUCAUGUUUCUUUUACAUUCAGUCAAAUUAAUUUUCUACAUUUUUAUUAUUAAUUUGUUCAUAUUUCAGUUUUAACCUGCAUCCUGUUGCUUCAGCUCACAUCUUUUAUUCUUUAUUCAGGUUGAUCGGAUGCAGGUUGUCAGAGAUCAGCUGUUCUUCUCUGGCCUCAGCUCUGAAGUCCAACCAACAUCUGACUGAACUGGACCUGAGCUACAACGACCUGGAAGAUUCUGAUGUUCAGCAGCUGAAACGUUUUGUAAAGGAUGUUCAGUGGUGGCCAUCAUCUUUUGAAACUAGAGAAUCGUCUCUGUUUCCUGCUGAUCCUCAGAAGCUGCAGCAGUUUGAGUCUAAAGAGACUCUGACUGGAUCAUGAUGACCUUUGACCUGAAUGGUUUCCAUCCUGUUUAUUUCCUCCUGUCUGUCAUUUUGUAUCUGAUGUUUUUCUGUUUGGAUGGAUGAAGAUGAAAUUGUAACUCGGCUCCAUUUCGAGGCUUCAUGGAGUUUUGAUCUGAACUUGGUUCAGUUUUUAAAGUUGAUCAUUUUUCUCUGAUUCAUUUUCAUCCUGAAAUAUGAACCAUGUUUCAGUUCAGCCGUUUCCAGGCUGCAUGUUGCUUCAUUUGGAUCCAGUUUCUGAUGUUUGUGCAGCUCUGGUCUUUCUAUCUGCUGCUGGAAACGACUCAGUGAGGAAAUGAUGCAAUCAAACUGUUACUGAUGAUUUUAAAUCUAAUAUUUUCAUUUCCUGCUAUUUUCUGCUGAGCUUUCAUUACCCAGUUCAUGUUUGCAUCAUCAGAAUAUAAUAUUUUCACCUUUUUGAAUUCUGC